rnacentral:SRP_RNA from 1 species
AGCGGAGCAUGGUGGCAUGCACCUGUAGUCCUAGCUACUCCAGAGGCUGAAAGCAGGUGGAUCAGUUGAGCCCAAGAGUUUUGGGCUGUAGUGUACCAAGCAGAUUGGGUGCCAUCACUAAGUUUGCAUCAAUACGGUGACCAUUAAGGAGCUGGGGACCACCAGGUUGCCUAAGGAGGGAUGAACCAGCCCAGCUUGAAACCAGCAGGUCAAAAUUUCCCUGCUGAUCAGCAGUGGGAUUGCACCUGUGAAUAGCCACGGCACUCCAGCCUGGGCAAUAGUGCAACCAUGGUCUCU